rnacentral:rRNA from 1 species
AGCGAACGCUGGCGGCAGGCUUAACACAUGCAAGUCGAACGCCCCGCAAGGGGAGUGGCAGACGGGUGAGUAACACGUGGGAACGUACCCUUUGGUUCGGAAUAACUUGGGGAAACUCAAGCUAAUACCGGAUAAGCCCUUAUGGGGAAAGGUUUACUGCCGAAGGAUCGGCCAGCGUCUGAUUAGCUAGUUGGUGAGGUAAUGGCUCACCAAGGCGACGAUCAGUAGCUGGUCUGAGAGGAAGAUCAGCCACACUGGGACUGAGACACGGCCCAGACUCCUACGGGAGGCAGCAGUGGGGAAUAUUGGACAAUGGGGGCAACCCUGAUCCAGCCAUGCCGCGUGAGUGAGGAAGGCCUUAGGGUUGUAAAGCUCUUUUACCCGGGACGAUAAUGACUGUACCGGGAGAAUAAGCCCCGGCUAACUUCGUGCCAGCCGCCGCAGUAA